UGCUGGAGGUAUCAGAAGUGCGAAUGCUGACAUAAGUAACGAUAAAGCGGGUGAAAAGCCCGCUCGCCGGAAGACCAAGGGUUCCUGUCCAACGUUAAUCGGGGCAGGGUGAGUCGACCCCUAAGGCGAGGCCGAAAGGCGUAGUCGAUGGGAAACAGGUUAAUAUUCCUGUACUUGGUGUUACUGCGAAGGGGGGACGGAGAAGGCUAUGUUGGCCGGGCGACGGUUGUCCCGGUUUAAGCGUGU
rnacentral:rRNA from 1 species